AUUCAAAUAUCUUAUAUUAGAGUAUAACACUGAAGCUGUUAUUGAGAUAACUUUCUAUCUUUGGAUA
rnacentral:tRNA from 1 species